UCCAAUGUAAAGUCACCCAAAACCUAUAUAGCACAUAAAAACGCAAGUAUGGGGGCAUGCACUACAGUUUCAGCUCUUUGACUCCCUUUUGCUUUUAUAAUAAUGUAUGAACUUCUCUUAUUUAAGAUGCAUCUGUACGUCCAUUGCCACCCAUCAGGGAAGAUAACAUAUUUAAAAUGCUGCACAAAGACUUCAGUUGUAUGUAUUUGGUGAGGGACUAUGUUCGCUAGGCAGCAGGGUUGAGUUGCAGAGUUGAAACUUGAUAUCAAUAAUUUCCGGAUAAAGUAUUGGGUGCAGAUCAUGGGAGUUGUUGGAACAGCGAAAAAGAGAAGAAAAGUCAAAGGCACAGCCAUGUGAUUUUAACUUCUCUUUGAGGGCUCCUGAAAUGAAAUCUCCAGGAAAUAUGCAUGCACAUUAUGGAAUCAUAGGUAUAUACCAAUCCCCAUAUACAUACAGCACACUCCGGCAUAUUCCAUAGGUUCGUUUCCUUUUUCUAAAAGAGAAUAAGUAAAUUAAAUGCCAUUCUUGGGUAGUCGUAAGUAAUCACAAAGUGACUUCUCUUCUUUUUUUUUUCUUUUUUUUUUUUUCUUUUUUCGAAGGGCCGCCAAGCUCGACCAUUUUUAGGUCAUAACUAUCCACAAAAAGAAUGAGUGUCUCUACUAACUAUUCUAGUAGUCGCCUUGAUCAAUGAAAUGUGCAGAUAACGGUUCAUAUAAAAUACUUUAUGUUGCGUG